rnacentral:rRNA from 1 species
UACAGAGGUCUCAAGCGUUGUUCGGAUUCAUUGGGCGUAAAGGGUGCGUAGGCGGCGCGGUAAGUCGGGUGUGAAAUCUCGGAGCUUAACUCCGAAACUGCAUUCGACUACUGCCGUGCUUGAGGACUGGAGAGGAGACUGGAAUUUACGGUGUAGCGGUGAAAUGCGUAGAUAUCGUAAGGAAGACCAGUGGCGAAGGCGGGUCUCUGGACAGUUCCUGACGCUGAGGCACGAAGGUCAGGGGAGCAAACGGG